rnacentral:rRNA from 1 species
AUAUCAAUAAGCGGAGGAAAAGAAACCAACGUGGAUUCCCCUAGUAGCGGCGAGCGAAGCGGGAAAAGCUCAACUUUGUAAUCUGGCGCUUUUGGCGUCCGACUUGUAGUCUCACGAAGCGUGUACCCGCGCCGGCCCUUGCCCAAGUCGUAUGGUUGCGACGUCACAGAGGGUGCAAACCCCGUCGACGGCGAGGACGCCCGGUGUGUUAUGUGGUCCGCUCUCCAAGAGUCGAGUUGUUUGGGAAUGCAGCUCCAAUCGGGUGGUAAAUUCCAUCUAAGGCUAAAUAACGGCGAGAGACCGAUAGCGCACAAGUA